UACAGAGGGGGCAAGCGUUGUUCGGAAUUACUGGGCGUAAAGGGCGCGUAGGCGGCCUGCUAAGUCGAACGUGAAAUCCCUGGGCUCAACCCAGGAACUGCGUCCGAUACUGGUUGGCUUGAAUCCGGGAGAGGGAUGUGGAAUUCCAGGUGUAGCGGUGAAAUGCGUAGAUAUCAGGAGGAACACCCGUAGCGAAGGCGGCACUCUGGGCCGAUACUGACACUGAGGAGCGAAAGCGUGGGGAGCGAACAGG
rnacentral:rRNA from 1 species